CCUACGGGAGGCUGCAGUGGGGAAUAUUGGACAAUGGGGGCAACCCUGAUCCAGCCAUGCCGCGUGUGUGAAGAAGGCCCUCGGGUUGUAAAGCACUUUCAGUGAGGAAGAACGCCUGGUGGUUAAUACCCAUCAGGAAAGACAUCACUCACAGAAGAAGCACCGGCUAACUCCGUGCCAGCAGCCGCGGUAAUACGGAGGGUGCGAGCGUUAAUCGGAAUUACUGGGCGUAAAGCGCGCGUAGGUGGCUUGAUAAGCCGGUUGUGAAAGCCCCGGGCUCAACCUGGGAACGGCAUCCGGAACUGUCAAGCUAGAGUGCAGGAGAGGAAGGUAGAAUUCCCGGUGUCGCGGUGAAAUGCGUAGAGAUCGGGAGGAAUACCAGUGGCGAAGGCGGCCUUCUGGACUGACACUGACACUGAGGUGCGAAAGCGUGGGUAGCAAACAGGAUUAGAUACCCGAGUAGUC
rnacentral:rRNA from 1 species